GUGCCAGCCGCGCGGUAAUACCGGCAGCCCGAGUGAUGGCCGAUCUUAUUGGGCCUAAAGCGUCCGUAGCUGGCUGCGCAAGUCCGUCGGGAAAUCCACUCGCCCAACGAGUGGGCGUCCGACGGAAACUGCACAGCUUGGGACCGGAAGGCUCGAAGGGUACGUUCGGGGUAGGAGUGAAAUCCUGUAAUCCUGGACGGACCACCGGUGGCGAAAGCGCCUCUGGAGAACUGAUCCGACGGUGAGGGACGAAAGCUGGGGUCUCGAACCGGAUUAGAAACCCUGGUAGUCC
rnacentral:rRNA from 1 species